rnacentral:rRNA from 1 species
AGCGAACGCUGGCGGCAGGCUUAACACAUGCAAGUCGAACGGGCACUUCGGUGCUAGUGGCAGACGGGUGAGUAACACGUGGGAACGUACCUUUCGGUUCGGAAUAAUUCAGGGAAACUUGGACUAAUACCGGAUACGCCCUUCGGGGGAAAGAUUCAUCGCCGAUAGAUCGGCCCGCGUCUGAUUAGCUAGUUGGUGAGGUAAUGGCUCACCAAGGCGACGAUCAGUAGCUGGUCUGAGAGGAUGAUCAGCCACAUUGGGACUGAGACACGGCCCAAACUCCUACGGGAGGCAGCAGUGGGGAAUAUUGGACAAUGGGCGCAAGCCUGAUCCAGCCAUGCCGCGUGAGUGAUGAAGGCCUUAGGGUUGUAAAGCUCUUUUACCCGGGAUGAUAAUGACAGUACCGGAAGAAUAAGCUCCGGCUAACUCCGUGCCAGCAGCCGCAGUAAUAC